CAGCGUACAAUACCCAAAGGAAUGCCAUGGAGGUGGUAAUACUAAUCCCUGUCAUGAAAGGGAAAAGGAAGUCCAAAUCUGGAGAGGAAACAACAAAUAGACAAUCACAACUUGUGUCAAAUGGUCAACGAUUCAUGUAACUUAAGUAUGAUGAAGAUAUUACUAGCAUUGAUACCUUUAUCAGUCUGAAUGUUUUCAUUAGUUUUAUUUGAUUAUAAUAGUUAUGCAGUAGCUGACAAUCGUACCGUACUGGCUGGCUCCUGGAAAUGCUGUACCAUUCCUCAUGUUCUUUAUGUGGAUGAUUGUGAUGUGAGAACAUUCAUACACUAGCCCUGCUAAUGCAGCAAGUGAGCAGCCACUUACAGAAACACGAGUUCACUCACAGAAUAAUUUCAGUAUCCAAACCCUCAACAGUGCACCUGAAAUUUGAUGAAUAGAAAGAGACAUCUGUUAUAAAACAUCCAGGUGUAUUGUAAGGACAUUCUGCUAUUGUCAUUAGGCCUACACUUGUAGCCUGAAUUGAUUUAUCCACAGUUGUCCUUGGUCUCGGCCACUCAUCUUUUCCAUCAUAGCCUGGUUCCUCUCUAGGUUUCUUCCUAGGUUUUGGCCUUUCUAGGGAGUUUUUCCAAGCCACCGUGCUUCUACACCUGCAUUGCUUGCUGUUUGGGGUUUUAGGCUGGGUUUCUGUACAGCACUUUGAGAUAUCAGCUGAUGUAAGAAGGGCUAUAUAAAUACAUUUGAUUUGAAAUUUGAUUUGAUUGUCCACUAGCAUCUCAGUUAGGAGCAUAUACCACCCGGUUUCCAGUCAAUUCGCAAAUUUUUCAUGCAUCAUUUUUUAUUUUACCUUUAUUUAACUAGGGAAGUCAGUUAAGAACAAUUUUUUAUUUAAAAUGGCUGCCUACUUGAGAAAAAUCCAUCACAGAUCAGACUUGCAAAGACUAGGCUGCCUAUCAUACACCACAGAUUUCAAACUUCAGAUCUAUGUCCAUGGUAAGCUAGGGUAAAAUUAAUUUAGACCCAGCGUUUAUUUGAAACAGGCUUUUAUUUGCCAAAAUGUGUGUGCCAAUGCAUUUAAAUGGGACAGGCGGCUGUUUGAGGAUCAACGUUUAAUUCUAAAGUUUUACUGUGAGAAAGCCUGUCCCUUUAAAUGACGACUUCACAGUUAGCACGGGUUCCCAGGCUGUUCAUUCAUUCCCGGUUCAGCUGGCCGCCUGCGGCUGGGGAGAGGAGAGGCAGCUUCAAACAUGAUUAUUUCUAGCUGUUAAUUAUUCACUGUGCGUGAAUGUAAAUUCUACGACAGUGUAUGGACACACAUUGGAUAAUUACAGCUUAAUGAUGGCACAGAAGCCUGACGUUUAUGUUAAACCUACCGUCAAGAGCACAAUCUCCAUAUCUUUGCCUACACACACACCAGUAAUAAAUAUCAGAGGUUUCACCCUCUUCAACAUUUUACUGUAUCGUAAAGCAUGUACCUCACAGUAGCAAGCCCAGUUCCAAUGUAAUUCAAUGUGGGGCUUGGUACAUCUUGCUGAUCCAGUCAGAACCAAGUCUGAUGUGAAGUAAAACAUUAGAAUCCCAUAAAAUAAUGUUAAUGUGUCAAGAAUUAUGCAACCAUCCUACAGUAAUCAUAAACAUAAAAUAAAAGUUGGCAGAUUCCAGCAGAUCAAAGAACUCGAUACAUAUUGUAUUAUAAAAACUAAUUUUAAACACAUAAAACAUUGAUGUGAUUUACCAUGUGAUUGAUGAGGUCAAAUUAAACAAAUCAGACCUCAAUUACCUGUAUUUUUACCCCAGAUUUGUUUUGGAGUAUCUAUUACUGAAAUACACAUCACCUUGCAGUGGCACAUGCCAUAAGAAAGAGGAAUCCCAUACCAAGUCCAAUUGUUUUUAUGAUUGGUAUAGUGGUGAGAUUCUCUACAAAACAUGCAAUCACAGAAUCAGGUUAGAAGUAGGCCUGUCACAUGACACACACUGCUUUUGUUAUGUGUUUUGUAGUGUUAUUGUUUACUUAUUAAAUGAAACCCCCUGUUCUGGUCUGGUACCUGCGCUGAACAGGAAUCCGUCCAGUAAGCUGAGCAUCCAGAUGGUUGGGCAGCCCUGGGUCAUAUAGACCAUCAGAGACCCUAGAUGGAGAGUGUUGGUGAACACCAAGUGAAAGACCAUGCCUUAGAAAACACAGAAACACACACACACACACAGAAAGCAAUCUAUAACUCCAGACAUGGGACUCUGCUCACACUUGUUCAAAAUACUCCAGGAUGUUGACAAAUGAACUCAAACUAAACAGUUAAACGUGAGGUACUGAGAUGGGCCUGUGAUGUUUUCAAAGUGCACGCUAGAUACGCUGGAACUCAAUAAACAGUUGUGUUUGAUGAUGACACAGAGAGGUGCCGAAGCCGAUGACAGACAGUCCCAGAGAGGUGAAGCCCUUAAUGAAUUGGAACCCAGUUUCUGUGGAGUUGUUCUGGGGACCGACCAGAGUAGUCUUAUGCACGUGUCACAAUCGCAUUUCCCCUUAGGGGGGGGGGAUCAAUAAAAUAUAUGAUCUUAUUUGUCCACCUACAUACUGGUAUGCUGAGUCAAUCAAAUGUUAGGGAAGCCAUUACAAAAUCAGUGAUGCUCAUGUCUGUUUAUUGCACAGUAGUUGUAUAACAGAAUGUUGUGCAUCAGUUAAAAGUAUAAAAUAUAGUGUUAUACAAUCUAUGCUGAGGCCCAUUACAGAAAAAUGUGCGAUGUAGGCAAUUAAAGAUAUACUUUAUAGAGUCAUAUGAAAGCCAUUCAGUUUAACUAUCUAAGCCAAUAAAAUCAUGCAACAAAUUAUGAACAUCUUAUCUCUGUAGGGAAGAGGGAAAAAAGCCCCGCCCCCUAUGUUGAUGUUAUAUUUUCAUAUGUAUGUUUAGUCUCUGACACAUACAGUUGAAGUCGGAAGUUUACAUACACCUUAGCCAAAUACAUUUAAACUUAGUUUUUCACAAUUCCUGACAUUUAAUCCUUGUAAAAUCCCUGUCUUAGGUCAGUUAGGAUCACCACUUUAUUUUAAGAAUGUGACAUGUCAGAAUAAUAGUUGAGAGAAUUAUUUAUUUCAGCUUUUAUUUCUUUCAUCACAUUCCCAGUGGGUCAGAAGUUUACAUACACUCAAUUAGUAUUUGGGUAGCAUUGCCUUUAUAUUGUUUAACUUGGGUCAAACGUUUCGGGUAGCCUUCCACAAGCUUCUCACAAUAAGUUGGGUGAAUUUUGGCCCAUUCCUCCUGACAGAGCUGGUGUAACUGAGUCAGGUUUGUAGGCCUCCUUACUCGCACACGCUUUUUCGGUUCUGCCCACAACUUUUCUAUAGAAUUGAGGUCAGG
rnacentral:lncRNA from 1 species